rnacentral:rRNA from 1 species
AACGAACGCUGGCGGCAUGCCUAACACAUGCAAGUCGAACGAAGCCUUCGGGCUUAGUGGCGCACGGGUGCGUAACGCGUGGGAAUCUGCCCUUGGGUUCGGAAUAACAGUUAGAAAUGACUGCUAAUACCGAAUGAAUGUCUUCGGACCAAAGAUUUAUCGCCCAAGGAUGAGCCCGCGUCGGAUUAGCUAGUUGGUGAGGUAAAGGCUCACCAAGGCGACGAUCCGUAGCUGGUCUGAGAGGAUGAUCAGCCACACUGGACUGAGACACGGCCCAGACUCCUACGGGAGGCAGCAGUGGGGAAUAUUGGACAAUGGCGAAAGCCUGAUCCAGCAAUGCCGCGUGAGUGAUGAAGGCCUUAGGGUUGUAAAGCUCUUUUA